CAACGUGGAGGAGACACGAGUGACCUGAGAGCACAGCCGUCACCAUAAGUCUCCUCAACAUGCCCAAGAGUGAGAUGACCCCAGAGGAGCUGCAGAAGCAGAAAGAAGAAGAAUUUAACAUGGGUCCACUCUCUGUGCUCACACAGUCUGUCAAGAACAACACCCAAGUGCUUAUCAACUGCCACGACAAUAAGAAACUCCUGGGCCAUGUGAAGGCCUUUGACAGGCACUGCAACAUGGUGCUGGAAAACAUGAAGGAGAUGUGGACCGAGGUCCCCAGGAGUGGUAAGGGCAAGAAGAAGUCCAAGCCAGUCAACAAGGACCACUACAUCUCCAAGAUGUUCCAACACAGGGACUCUGUCAUUGUGGUCCUGGCGAACCCGCUCAUCGCUGGCCAGUAGGGGCCUCCUCUUGCCAAUAGAGCUUGCUCCCCUGCCCUAUGAAGACCUGCCCUUUAUGAUGGGAAUAAUAAAGUCCUG